rfam:Cycloclasticus sp. P1, complete genome.
UAACCUCUUUUGGGAGAGAUCGGUAUAACACCGACGCCGAAGGCGCAAUUCGCUCGGAAUCGCUCAGGCAAAUGGACCAUAAGAGAAUU